UUUUCUGUUCAUGGAGACAAU
ensembl:piRNA 21ur-6421 ncRNA